UUAUUGUUUACACUGCACACAUCAGGUGGCUAUGCAUGCUAUCAAUUAUGACUCUAAGUUUCUAUGGUGAACGAGGUUUACAGGAAUCAGCGGUUGUGAUUAGCUGUACGUAUAGCUGCAUGGUGCAUAUAAUGCAUGCAAUAAUUUCUCCAUAAACUUGACGGUCAAGGUCAUAGGCUCCGAAGGGGAAUGUUAUUAUCUAACAAAUACAACGAAUUCGUUGACUGCCACGCGAGAUGUGUCCAAGAAUAAAGACAUGGUCAGAGAGAAUCUCUCCAGGCC
rnacentral:lncRNA from 1 species